rnacentral:rRNA from 1 species
GUCCAGAGAGUUUGAUUACUGGCUCAAGGAUGAAACGCUAGCGAUAGGCCUAACACAUGCAAGUCGAGGGGCAGCACAUGAAGUAGCAAUACGGAUGGUGGCGACCGGCGCACGGGUGAGUAACGCGUAUGCAACCUACCUACAACAGGGGAAUAACUCGUUGAAAGACGGACUAAUACCCCAUAAUACAGGGAUCCCGCAUGGGAAUAUUUGUUAAAGAUUUAUCGGUUGUAGAUGGGCAUGCGUUCCAUUAGCUAGUUGGUGAGGUAACGGCUCACCAAGGCAACGAUGGAUAGGGGAACUGGGAGGUUUAUCCCCCACACUGGUACUGAGACACGGACCAGACUCCUACGGGAGGCAGCAGUGAGGAAUAUUGGUCAAUGGACGCAGGUCUGAACCAACGCCACGUCGCGUGAAGGAAGACGGCCCUACGGGUUGUAAACUUCUUUUGUAAGGGAAUAAAGUGAGCCACGUGUGGUCUUUUUGCAUGUACCUUACGAAUAAGGAUCGGCUAACUCCGUGCCAGCCGCCGC